UAGGGAAUCUUCGGCAAUGGGGGGAACCCUGACCGAGCAACGCCGCGUGAGUGAAGAAGGUUUUCGGAUCGUAAAGCUCUGUUGUUAAGGAAGAACGAGUGUGAGAAUGGAAAGUUCAUACUGUGACGGUACUUAACCAGCAAGGGACGGCUAACUACGUGCCAGCCGCCGCGGUAAUACGUAGGUCCCGAGCGUUGUCCGGACUUAUUGGGCGUAAAGCGAGCGCAGGCGGUUAGAAAAGUCUUAAGUGAAAGGCAGUGGCUCAACCAUUGUAGGCUUUGGAAACUGUUUAACUUGAGGGGAGAAGGGGAGAGUGAAAUUCCAUGUGUAGCGGUGAAAUGCGUAGAUAUAUGGAGGAACACCAGUGGCGAGGGCGACUCUCUGGUCUGUAACUGACGCUGAGGCUCGAAAGCGUGGGUAGCAAACAGG
rnacentral:rRNA from 1 species